UGGGGUCUCCCUCUGUCACACAGGCUGAAUGUAGCGGUGCAAUUGUAGCUCACUGCAGCCUCCAUCUCCUGGGCUCAAACAACCCUCCCACCUCAGUCUCCUGAGUACCAGGGACCACGGGCACGCAGCACCACUAUGCUGUGCUAAUUUUUUUAUUUUGUAGAGAAAAAGUUUGCCAACCUCUGCUCACUCUCACUAGUUCAAAAUUUUAGGAUGGUGAUUGACUGCAAGCAUCACUAAGUAAUCUGUUUAUACACAAAUACAAAGUUUGCCAGUGAUGGAAAGUUUUGUGAUUUUCCAGGGAGAGGUGGGGUCCCAAGUCUGGAUAAGAGAAGGCAGAAACUGCCCAUCUGCGGGAUGAGAUCCGUCCUUCCCCCAGGAAGGCCAUCUUUAUGUGUUUUCACAGGUCUCCCUUCUUUCUUUUAUCGGAUGAAGCUCCCAACUGCUCCUGCCACAGGCUUUAAUAACCUUGAAGUUCUCGCUGUGGGCGGCACAGACCAAAUUUGCAGAGCAUAAAAAUAGCCCCCGGACUUAUCAGGCCGCUCUGAAAGCCCUUCCCACAGCGACUGGCUCACACGUCCUUCUCAAGUGGUUUAGGCUGCAGCAAGAGGGAUUAGGUGAAAAUGUGACAGACCCCUGGGGAAGGCAGGGUGUGUGUCCUUCUGGGACGGUUGAGACCUGUUCUGCUUCAGCCUCAGGACCCAAUUCAAGGAAGGAGGGUCCCUUCCCCUCCGAGUGCUCGCAGAGGUCUGCAGAGACCAACAUUAUGGUCUCCAAAGGCAAUGAGAGCCAGCGCCAAGGAAACCCAGACAGAGCACCUAGAACCAGCCCCACCUGCUCUC